rnacentral:rRNA from 1 species
GACGAACGCUGGCGGCGUGCUUAACACAUGCAAGUCGAACGGAAAGGCCCUGCUUUUGUGGGGUGCUCGAGUGGCGAACGGGUGAGUAACACGUGAGUAACCUGCCCUUGACUUUGGGAUAACUUCAGGAAACUGGGGCUAAUACCGGAUAGGAGCUCCUGCUGCAUGGUGGGGGUUGGAAAGUUUCGGCGGUUGGGGAUGGACUCGCGGCUUAUCAGCUUGUUGGUGGGGUAGUGGCUUACCAAGGCUUUGACGGGUAGCCGGCCUGAGAGGGUGACCGGCCACAUUGGGACUGAGAUACGGCCCAGACUCCUACGGGAGGCAGCAGUGGGGAAUAUUGCACAAUGGGCGGAAGCCUGAUGCAGCAACGCCGCGUGCGGGAUGACGGCCUUCGGGUUGUAAACCGCUUUCGCCUGUGACGAAGCGUGAGUGACGGUAAUGGGUAAAGAAGCACCGGCUAACUACGUGCCAGCAGCCGCGGUGAUACGUAAGGUGCGAGCGUUGUCCGGAUUUAUUGGGCGUAAAGGGCUCGUAGGUGGUUGAUCGCGUCGGAAGUGUAAUCUUGGGGCUUAACCCUGAGCGUGCUUUCGAUACGGGUUGACUUGAGGAAGGUAGGGGAGAAUGGAAUUCCUGGUGGAGCGGUGGAAUGCGCAGAUAUCAGGAGGAACACCAGUGGCGAAGGCGGUUCUCUGGGCCUUUCCUGACGCUGAGGAGCGAAAGCGUGGGGAGCGAACAGGCUUAGAUACCCUGGUAGUCCACGCUGUAAACGGUGGGUACUAGGUGUGGGGUCCAUUCCACGGGUUCCGUGCCGUAGCUAACGCUUUAAGUACCCCGCCUGGGGAGUACGGCCGCAAGGCUAAAACUCAAAGGAAUUGACGGGGCCCCGCACAAGCGGCGGAGCAUGCGGAUUAAUUCGAUGCAACGCGUAGAACCUUACCUGGGUUUGACAUGGAUCGGGAGUGCUCAGAGAUGGGUGUGCCUCUUUUGGGGUCGGUUCACAGGUGGUGCAUGGCUGUCGUCAGCUCGUGUCGUGAGAUGUUGGGUUAAGUCCCGCAACGAGCGCAACCCUUGUUCACUGUUGCCAGCACGUUAUGGUGGGGACUCAGUGGAGACCGCCAGGGUCAACUCGGAGGAAGGUGGGGAUGACGUCAAGUCAUCAUGCCCCUUAUGUCCAGGGCUUCACGCAUGCUACAAUGGCUGGUACAGAGAGUGGCGAGCCUGUGAGGGUGAGCGAAUCUCGGAAAGCCGGUCUCAGUUCGGAUUGGGGUCUGCAACUCGACCUCAUGAAGUCGGAGUCGCUAGUAAUCGCAGAUCAGCAACGCUGCGGUGAAUACGUUCCCGGG